UACAGAGGGUGCAAGCGUUAAUCGGAAUUACUGGGCGUAAAGCGUGCGUAGACGGUCAUGUAAGUCGGGUGUGAAAGCCCCGGGCUCAACCUGGGAAUUGCAUUCGAGACUGCAUGGCUAGGGUGCGGAAGAGGGAAGCGGAAUUUCCGGUGUAGCGGUGAAAUGCGUAGAUAUCAGGAGGAACACCGAUGGCGAAGGCAGGUCUCUGGGCCGAUACUGACGCUGAGGAGCGAAAGCGUGGGGAGCGAACAGG
rnacentral:rRNA from 1 species